rnacentral:rRNA from 1 species
GACAGAGGGUGCAAACGUUGCUCGGAAUCACUGGGCGUAAAGGGCGUGUAGGCGGGUAGAUAAGUCGGGCGUGAAAUCCCUAGGCUCAACCUAGGAACUGCACUCGAAACUGUUUAUCUUGAGUGCCGGAGAGGAAAGCGGAAUUCCUGGUGUAGAGGUGAAAUUCGUAGAUAUCAGGAGGAACGACCAGUGGCGAAGGCGGGUCUCUGGGCAACAACUGACGCUGAGGAGGCGAAA